UACGGAGGGUGCGAGCGUUGCUCGGAACCACUGGGCGUAAAGCGUACGCAGGCUGUCUCGUAAGUCGGGUGUGAAAGCCCGGGGCUCAACCCCGGAAUUGCGCCCGAGACUGCGGGGCUUGAAUGCGGGAGAGGGAAGCGGAAUUCCUGGUGUAGAGGUGAAAUUCGUAGAUAUCAGGAGGAACACCGGUGGCGAAAGCGGCUUCCUGGCCCGACAUUGACGCUCAUGUACGAGAGCGUGGGGAGCAAACAGG
rnacentral:rRNA from 1 species